AUUGAACGCUGGCGGCAUGCCUUACACAUGCAAGUCGAAUGGUAACAGGUCUUCGGAUGCUGACGAGUGGCGAACGGGUGAGUAAUACAUCGGAACGUGCCCAAUCGUGGGGGAUAACGCAGCGAAAGCUGUGCUAAUACCGCAUACGAUCUACGGAUGAAAGCAGGGGAUCGCAAGACCUUGCGCGAAUGGAGCGGCCG
rnacentral:rRNA from 1 species